rnacentral:rRNA from 1 species
CACAAGCGGUGGAGCAUGUGGUUUAAUUCGAUGAUACGCGAGGAACCUUACCUGGGCUCAAAUGUAUGUUGACGUAUUCUGAAAGGGAUACUUCUUCGGACAAUAUACAAGGUGCUGCAUGGUUGUCGUCAGCUCGUGCCGUGAGGUGUCGGGUUAAGUCCCAUAACGAGCGCAACCCCUAUCAUUAGUUGCCAUCAGGUCAAGCUGGGGACUCUAAUGAAACUGCCUACGCAAGUAGUGAGGAAGGUGGGGAUGACGUCAAAUCAGCACGGCCCUUACGUCCAGGGCUACACACGUGCUACAAUGGUCGGUACAAAGGGUUGCCAAGCCGCGAGGUGGAGCUAAUCCCAUAAAACCGAUCGUAGUCCGGAUCGCAGUCUGCAACUCGACUGCGUGAAGUCGGAAUCGCUAGUAAUCGUGAAUCAGAAUGUCACGGUGAAUACGUUCCCGGGCCUU